rnacentral:rRNA from 1 species
CCUGAGAAACCAACUUGAUCGAAUGGNNAGCCCGANCGCCAGCACAUUUUGNAUAUGUAUUAGAUAUGAUGUGGGUUACUACUUGGGAGUAUUGCCUAUACAUUCUUAUAUAUUUAAUUGCUGAAUGUUGUCGGCGUGCACUUCUCCCCUAGUAGAAUUUUUSGACUCGUUUAGUGUCGGGGGAGGGGUCAAGUGAUUGGCUUUAAUGUAAUUUAAAAAUCAUUAAARAUCCUUGAUGUUUUCUGACCGACUACUUGGCGAUAUUCAAACGGUAUUUAGSCGSAAAUKAAUAUGCGUUCAUGCCCGUGGCAAGCGAGGCCAAUUUUUUUAAUUAAGUAGUACGGACCUAGUUGCCGUCGCUUAUAUUGGCCAGCUGUUGGUUGUACGGUGUUCUAGAACUGGCUAAAUUAUUAAAUUACCGGUCGGSGAUGCUACUGGUUUGGGUACUUUCAGGACCCGUCUUGAAACACGGRCCAAGGAGUCUAACAUGUACGCAAGUCAUUGGGAUUUUUUUAAAAAUUAAACCUAAAGGGAUAAUGAAAGUAAAGGGUAUUCUUGCAAUAACUAAAGGAGGAUAGGAUUUAUUAAGAUAAAUCUUCGCACUCCUGGGGCGUAUCAKKCUUAUU